GUGGAGGGAAGGGUUGGAAUUCAGGUAGGAGAGCAAAGGAAGGCCUCAAUGAGAGAGUAAGGAAGUAGAGGCAGGGCCAUGCAGAUAGCAUGAAUGUGAGGUCAAGGGAACGUGAGAAUGUGAGGCCAAGGGAACAAUAAGUGCUAAGAUCCAGAAGCAGGAGUGUGCCUGGUGUGUUGUGUGUUAUUGAAUAAAAGGAAUUUUUUUUUCUCCUGAAUUAGAAGAAGAGAAAAAGUGCCUCAAGCUUCUGUUUUACUUUGUCUGUAGAAAGCCAACUUGAAGGUUCCAAGAAGAAAGCAUAGAAGUCAUCAUUCAAACUGCAAAUUAGGGGCAGCAGCAUUCAUGAACAAUGAAAGCUGCAGGAACAUUUGAGAUACAGAUAAGGGUCACCCAGCUUCACUUAACUGUGAAAUUAAGGCUGGAGUACACUGGCAGAAUCGAAGCCCACUACAAUCUUGAACUCCUAGGCUCAAGGAUUCCUCCUGCCUUAGCCUCCCAAGUAGCCAGGACUACAGGCAUCCACCACCAUGCCCAGCUAAGGCCAAGAUGGACACCAGUGUUCCAGACCUUCCAUGGAGACAUGACAAUGCCAGCACCAGAAGAGAAUUAUUUAUUUCUGAAUACAAUUUUUAUAAGAUGGUAGGAAAGGUCUAUUCCAGAAGCCCCUCUGCAGACUUCCCUACAUUUCCUAUUGGCUAGAAAUGUGUCACAGACAUGUUAAUAAAAAAUGCCAAACUGUGUAAAAUAUUUGAAGAGAUUUAUUCUGAGCCAAAUGUAAGGACAAUGACCUCAGGAGGUCUUGAGAACAUGUGCCUGAGGUGGUUGGGUUACAGCUUGAUUUUACACACUUUAGAGAGAGAAAAACUGCAGGCAAAAACAUAAAUCAAUUUAUGUAAGGUUUAUAUUGUUUUGGCCUGGAAAAACAAGGCAUCUCAAAGUUGGGAGGGGGAAGAGUUCCAGGUCAUAGGAGGAUCCAAAGAUUUCCUGAUUGACAGUUGAUUGAAAGGGUUCAGCUUUGCCUAAAGAGUUCAAGUCAGCAGAAAGAAAGUCUUGUGGUUAAGAUAAGGAGGC
rnacentral:lncRNA from 1 species